UCCCCCCUGCGGCGGCCCCGAGGACGUGGCCCUGGCGCCCUGCACCGCCGCCGCCGCCUGCGAAGCGGGCCCCUCCCCGGUCUACGUCAAGGUCAAGAGCGCGGAGCCGGCUGACUGCGCCGAGGGGCCGGUGCAGUGCAAGAACGGCCUCUUGGUGAUUCCUGCAAUAACUUCAUUUUCCUGCCUUCACUCUCGGCACCUUCAAUCCAUUCUCCAUGCAGCUGCCAGCGUGAUCUUUUAAAACCUCCAGCCCACACUGUGAAGAGCCUUGUGCCCACAGCUGUGCACAUCCUGGGCUUCCUCCACACCUUGUCCAUAAACUGCCCCUCAGCUACCUUCAGACCCAGGAUACAGGAGAACAGAUGCAAAAACUAUUGCUCAAGGAAAAUAAAGUGAAAACGAGGAAAAGCAAAAGAAGAUCUGGAGAGGGCUCUCACCUGACCACAAGCAUCCUGGAGCAAUGAGUUUCAGGCAGGAAGACUCAUCCUGAGCUGAGCUGCUUUUCUUGAAGUUGUGCAAGAACGUCCUGUUGGCUGGGGCAAAUUCAGUAUUUCUUUUCCUGGCCACUGUGCUGGAGCGUGAGGAAAGACUCUCCACCCUCACUCCCAGAUCCUGCAGGAGGCGUGAGAGCGGAUGGAGAUGGUGAGGAUGUCUAUUAAUAUGGUGUUUCCUGCAAAACGGUGCCCAUCUCAACCAUGGGUUGUCAACCAUCCUCGGUGUCUACAACUGCAAUUUACCUUUGAGGGCCCAUGAACUCUGAUUACCUGAAAGUCCUUAGGCCAGAAAGAGAAACCCCUGUCCCCCACCUCUCACUUUCACCUAUUUCUAGACCUUUUCUUACAGCAAUGCCUUGGCCCUCAGGAAGCAUCAGAUCUCAAACUGCAGGGUCUGGGGCUGAAGCUGAUGCUGGCAUGGGUGACUCAGAGUUCCUCUAUUAGUUCAAAUAUGUAAUAUCUUUUAGAGCCUAGGACUCAGGCUGGAGGCAAUUCCUUGGUGCCAGUUGGUUAAUACUUUAUGAAUAGUGGUGGGGGAGGGAAUGCCUUGGACUAUUAAUGUCCCCAUGGAUCUGGAUCCUGGAGAACUUCCAGUGUCCUGGAUGGAAUGUUCUGCUUGGCUCAUCUUGCCCAGAGAAGAGCCAGGAUAUGAGAAGAUGGGAGAGGGAAGGGGGAGGUGUGAAACGUGCUGGUGCUUCCUGUCCUCGUGGUGUGAUGGCUGCCCAGGCUGCUCCUUCGAGGCAGGACAGGAUUCCCAUGGGAGAUAUGAGGACCAUGGUGAUUUCCAGGCACCAGUUAUGUCCCAGAGCAUCGUGUGCCUGUGCAGUGGGGUUACUGAUAGUCCAGGCAUCAGUUCAUAUUGUCCUUUAUGGCAGAUCCUGCACAAGGGGGUUCUCUGUCUCUGGACCCACUCUGUCAGCAUGGACAUCCUUUUUCUUUUUCCCUGGUAAGGACAUCAGAAAGAAAGUUACCCCUCCAGUGUUUGGAGUCUUGGAAUCCUUGGCCUGCCUGCAGGCCUCUGAAUCCUCAGUGUGUUAGCCCAAGGUCACCUUAGGUAAAGGAACAUUUCUCCUGGUCUUCCAACACCCUGGAAAGGGAGGCUCUUCAAGAAUAGGAAAUUCUUCCUAGUAUCUAACCUUGGCCUGCAACUAUGCCAUACAUUUAAUUGUAGAAGGUAUGGAAAGUUAGGACUGUGGUGGACCCAGUUAAAUCACUGGACAGAAGCCAUGAGGCAGAGCCAGAACCAGCUUCUGGACUCCCUGCAUGGAGCUUUCUACUAUCCCAGGUUGUUGGGUCCCUUCUCAGUGGCCAAAGAUGCUAUUUUAUGAGCCUUGAGGACAUGACACUAAGUGAAAAAAGCCUGGCCAAAGGGCCACAUAGUGUAUAGUUCUAUUUAUAUGAAAUGUCCAGGAAAGACAAAAGCAUAGAGGCAGAAAGCAGACUAGUGCUGUGGGAGGAAUGGGGGAUUUGGGAGGUGAUGGCUAAGGGGUUAUGGGGUUUUGGGGGAGGUAAUAGAAAUGUUUUAAAAUUGGUUGUGAAGGUGGAUGCCCAACUCUGCGAAUACACUAAAAGGCAUCGAAUUGUAUACUUUAAAUAGGUGAAUU
rnacentral:lncRNA from 1 species